rnacentral:hammerhead_ribozyme from 1 species
AUCCAGCUGACGCGUUCCAAAUAGGACGAUACGCGCGUCAUACUGGUU